rnacentral:rRNA from 1 species
UUGAACGCUGGCGGCAGGCCUAACACAUGCAAGUCGAACGGUAACAGGAAGAAGCUUGCUUCUUUGCUGACGAGUGGCGGACGGGUGAGUAAUGUCUGGGAAACUGCCUGAUGGAGGGGGAUAACUACUGGAAACGGUAGCUAAUACCGCAUAACGUCGCAAGACCAAAGAGGGGGACCUUAGGGCCUCUUGCCAUCGGAUGUGCCCAGAUGGGAUUAGCUAGUAGGUGGGGUAAAGGCUCACCUAGGCGACGAUCCCUAGCUGGUCUGAGAGGAUGACCAGCCACACUGGAACUGAGACACGGUCCAGACUCCUACGGGAGGCAGCAGUGGGGAAUAUUGCACAAUGGGCGUAAGCCUGAUGCAGCCAUGCCGCGUGUAUGAAGAAGGCCUUCGGGUUGUAAAGUACUUUCAGCGGGGAGGAAGGUGUUGUGGUUAAUAACCACAGCAAUUGACGUUACCCGCAGAAGAAGCACCGGCUAACUCCGUGCCAGCAGCCGCGGUAAUACGGAGGGUGCAGGCGUUAAUCGGAAUUACUGGGCGUAAAGCGCACGCAGGCGGUCUGUCAAGUCGGAUGUGAAAUCCCCGGGCUCAACCUGGGAACUGCAUUCGAAACUGGCAGGCUUGAGUCUCGUAGAGGGGGGUAGAAUUCCAGGUGUAGCGGUGAAAUGCGUAGAGAUCUGGAGGAAUACCGGUGGCGAAGGCGGCCCCUGGACGAAGACUGACGCUCAGGUGCGAAAGCGUGGGGAGCAAACAGGAUUAGAUACCCUGGUAGUCCACGCCGUAAACGAUGUCUAUUUGGAGGUUGUGCCCUUGAGGUGUGGCUUCCGGAGCUAACGCGUUAAAUAGACCGCCUGGGGAGUACGGCCGCAAGGUUAAAACUCAAAUGAAUUGACGGGGGCCCGCGCAAGCGGUGGAGCAUGUGGUUUAAUUCGAUGCAACGCGAAGAACCUUACCUGGUCUUGACAUCCACAGAACUUUCCAGAGAUGGAGGGGUGCCUUCGGGAACUGUGAGACAGGUGCUGCAUGGCUGUCGUCAGCUCGUGUUGUGAAAUGUUGGGUUAAGUCCCGCAACGAGCGCAACCCUUAUCCUUUGUUGCCAGCGGUUAGGCCGGGAACUCAAAGGAGACUGCCAGUGAUAAACUGGAGGAAGGUGGGGAUGACGUCAAGUCAUCAUGGCCCUUACGACCAGGGCUACACACGUGCUACAAUGGCGCAUACAAAGAGAAGCGAACUCGCGAGAGCAAGCGGACCUCAUAAAGUGCGUCGUAGUCCGGACUGGAGUCUGCAACUCGACUCCAUGAAGUCGGAAUCGCUAGUAAUCGUGGAUCAGAAUGCCACGGUGAAUACGUUCCCGGGCCUUGUACACACCGCCC